UAGGAGGCGAGGCCAUACAUUCGAUAUUGGUGGGUUGCCCUUCUUUUAGAGGUUACUUUUUACUUCCUUGUAAGGUACAGUCCAACAGCGGCUUAGUUAUGAAGCUUACGAAUAUUGAUCGUAUUACUUGACAAGAGCACCCAGUGAUGAUAUGCUCGCUUAAGGAAAUCCAGGAAAUACGGAAAAAAUGCAAAAGAGAAAACUAAAAGGCCCAAACCUUAGGGAGAAUUACUAUUAAUAUUUGCCCGUGGAUGUCCUCCUUUGUGAAAUGCCUGUUCAAGGCUUCUGCCUAUUUUCCUCUUCAGUUAUCUGCUUUUCAUGCUGGGGGCGGUUGGAAGAGGAGGAGUAGCGUAAGAGUUCUUUGUGUCAUUGGAUGAGUUCUCCGUCAGACCACUUGAUCUGGAGGAAGCCAGCUGCCAUAGCAUGAGGACAGUUAGUGGACUAUGAAGAGGCCCAGGUGGUUAGGAAGUGAGGACCUCUGCGAACAGCUGAAGAAGAACUGGCCUUUUGUCAACAGUUCCGUGAGUAAGCCAUCUUGGAAGCAGAUUCAACAGCCCCAGGCAAGCUUUUGGAUGACUGCAGCCCUACCUGACACCUUGAUUGGAGCCUUGUGAGACCCUGAGCCAGAACCCACCCAUCUAAGCUCCUCUUGGACCCUUGACCUCAGAAGCUGUAUGAGAUAAUAAAUGUUUGCUGC